ACCCCGCAUUUAUACGAGCUAAUUGAUCAUCCCUGCUUCUUCAAGGGGAGGAAGUUAUGCUAUACGCUGGCUUCCCUGCCCCCGUUCGCGCCGCCGUUGGACUGUAUCCAAAAGAGAAACCUAGGUCACAGCCUAGCAGUCAGGAGCAAAUGGCGCGGAACGAAGAGAGAGGGACCAAGUCACAAUGCCAGGGCAUCAACUUCAAAGCCAGCUCAGCCUGCAAGAGUAUUUUAAAUUACUGACUUCCGGAGGAUGUUCAUGUGUCAAGGAGCUCCACAGACCUCUGAUCAAGACCUGAAAACUGAACAGACCACGAG